rnacentral:rRNA from 1 species
GAUGAACGCUGGCGGCGUGCCUAAUACAUGCAAGUCGAGCGAACAGACGAGGAGCUUGCUCCUCUGACGUUAGCGGCGGACGGGUGAGUAACACGUGGAUAACCUACCUAUAAGACUGGGAUAACUUCGGGAAACCGGAGCUAAUACCGGAUAAUAUAUUGAACCGCAUGGUUCAAUAGUGAAAGACGGCUUUGCUGUCACUUAUAGAUGGAUCCGCGCCGCAUUAGCUAGUUGGUAAGGUAACGGCUUACCAAGGCAACGAUGCGUAGCCGACCUGAGAGGGUGAUCGGCCACACUGGAACUGAGACACGGUCCAGACUCCUACGGGAGGCAGCAGUAGGGAAUCUUCCGCAAUGGGCGAAAGCCUGACGGAGCAACGCCGCGUGAGUGAUGAGGGUCUUCGGAUCGUAAAACUCUGUUAUUAGGGAAGAACAAAUGUGUAAGUAACUAUGCACGUCUUGACGGUACCUAAUCAGAAAGCCACGGCUAACUACGUG